GCUGUCCUUCAUGACAACAGAACCCACAACAACCAUGACUUUUAUCACCAUCUUCAUCUGGAUAUUUGCCCUCUGUCUCCAAGAGUCCAGAGGCCAGGUCACUGUGACUCAGACUCCUGCAGUGGAAGCUGUUUCAGUGGGUCACUCAGUCAGUCUCAGCUGUAAGACCAGCAGUGCUGUAUACAGUGACGACAGUGGACACUUUCUAGCCUGGUAUCAACAGAAUCCUGGAGGAGCUCCUAAACUCCUUAUUUACUAUGCUACAACACUUCAGUCUGGGACUCCAUCUAGAUUCAGUGGCAGUGGAACUCAUAGUGACUUCACUCUGACCAUCAGUGGAGUCCAGGCUGAAGAUGCAGGAGAUUACUACUGUCAGAGUUGGCACUACCCCAACAGUGUCUGGGUGUUCACACAGUGAUACAGAGUCGUACAAAAACCUCCCUCAGUCAGACUGCACAGUGACUGUACUGCUACAGCUGGGA